GACGAACGCUGGCGGCGUGCUUAACACAUGCAAGUCGAACGGAAAGGCCCUGCUUUUGUGGGGUGCUCGAGUGGCGAACGGGUGAGUAACACGUGAGUAACCUGCCCUUGACUUUGGGAUAACUUCAGGAAACUGGGGCUAAUACCGGACAGGAGCCCCUGCUGCAUGGUGGGGGGUGGAAAGUUUCGGCGGUUGGGGAUGGACGCGCGGCUUACCAGCUGGCUGGUGGGGUAGUGGCUUACCAAGGCUUUGACGGGUAGCCGACCUGAGAGGGUGACCGGCCACAUUAGGACUGAGGUACGGCCCAGACUCCUACGGGAGGCAGCGGUGGGAAAUAUUACACAAUGGGCGGGAGCGUGAUACAGCAACGCCGCGUGCGGAAUGACGGCCUUCGGGUUGUAAACCGCUGUCGCCUGUGACGAAGCGUGAGUGACGGUAAUGGGUAAAGAAGCACCGGCUAACUACGUG
rnacentral:rRNA from 1 species